UCGCGGCUUAUCACCGGCAGUCCCCUUAGAGUGCCCAACUGAAUGAUGGCAACUAAGGGCGAGGGUUGCGCUCGUUGCGGGACUUAACCCAACGUCUCACGACACGAGCUGACGACAGCCAUGCGGCACCUGUGUUGAGGCUCCCUUUCGGGCACCCUCCCAUCUCUGAGAGGUUCCUCACAUGUCAAGGGUAGGUAAGGUUUUUCGCGUUGCAUCGAAUUAAUCCACAUAAUCCACCGCUUGUGCGGGUCCCCGUCAAUUCCUUUGAGUUUUAACCUUGCGGCCGUACUCCCCAGGCGGUCGACUUCACGCGUUAGCUUCGUUACUGAGAGUGUCAAACCCCCAACAACCGGUCGACAUCGUUUACGGCGUGGACUAC
rnacentral:misc_RNA from 1 species